AUUGAACGCUGGCGGCAGGCCUAACACAUGCAAGUCGAACGAGUGGCGGACGGGUGAGUAAUGUCUGGGAAACUGCCUGAUGGAGGGGGAUAACUACUGGAAACGGUAGCUAAUACCGCAUACCAUCGGAUGUGCCCAAAUGGGAUUAGCUAGUAGGUGGGGUAACGGCUUACCUAGGCGACGAUCCCUAGCUGGUCUGAGAGGAUGACCAGCCACACUGGGACUGAGACACGGUCCAGACCCCUACGGGAGGCAGCAGUGGGGAAUAUUGCACAAUGGGCGCAAGCCUGAUGCAGCCAUGCCGCGUGUAUGAAGAAGGCCGUCGGGUUGUAAAGUACUUUCAGCGGGGAGGCGUUACCCGCAGAAGAAGCACCGGCUAACUCCGUGCCAGCAGCCGCGGUAAUUC
rnacentral:rRNA from 1 species